UGGCGCCCAACGUGGGGCUCGAGAUACGGGGUCUUCACUUGGUGGACAUUGCUCGGAAGAUCGGCCGAUCGACCCCAGGACCACCGCCCACCCGGCGAGCUUGGAUCCAUGAACAGUCCACUCAGCAUAACCCGCCUGAGAAAGCGACCUGUGAAGUAAUUGAGCAAUGUGAGACAUGGGACAAGAAUUGAGCAAACAUCAAUUGUUCGUUGAGGGUUUAAAAUCCUCCUUAAAGAUGUGGGGAGUUUGGGUAAAAAAGAAAGAUUUAAUUAAAAUUUUUAAGUUUGUGGAAGAAACCUGUUCUU
rfam:Fukomys damarensis contig109092, whole genome shotgun sequence.